AAAAUGCUGAUCAGGCCCAGUUGAUUCUGAUUGUGUAUCAAGAUGGCAAGAGGAAAAGAUCUAAGGGACUUUGAACACA